AGGUAGCGGGUGGGAUGUUUUGGGGUGUUUUCAUUCUUCGUCUGUCUGGAAAAAAAAUUUAGGGCAAUGGUAGUGAAUUGUUGUUCUUCCCCGAGGGCUCGCUCUGUGGGGUUUUGCGGGGUCCCAUCUUGUCUCUUCUUCUAAUAGAAGAAGUGUUCCCAAAGUAGAAAAGAUCAGAGGGUGAGUGCAGAAGGGUUGCAAGGCCUUGAGUGCAAGAAAUGGCAUCUGCUUUUUCUCUUUCUCUCCCAAACCAGACGGUGCCACAGACCCGUGAGUCGGACUGAAGCAUGGAUUAGAGCGAGCUGUCCAAGCCAUGUCCAGGGAGCGACCAGAGGUGGUACCGGUAAGGUUCAACACGUGACCGUCGCUUUAUUUUUACUGUGUGUUAUUAAAACUCUGCUCUGAAGUGAGUUGUUCAUUUUGGGCCCCUCUAUGCAUGCAGGUUUACAGGACUUGUCUUUCUGGCUAUAACACUUGCUGGAACUGAGACUUUCUCAAACCUCCCAGCGAAGCAGUUCAGCGUGUACUAUGAAACAACCUCUGAAUUCCAAUGACUGCAAUGCUUAACUGCCCAGAGGGAUUUCGUCCUCAAAUUUAAGUCAUUCAGGAGAUGGUAAAUACAUGCAAGAGUACUGUCUGCAUGCACUUUCAUCAAAGCUGAAACUCCUUCUUCCAUAGCACAUCUUGUUGUCUCCACUGCAAAACUUGCUGUGGAAGUGUUUUAAGAAUGAGUGAAGGAUUUAUGACCUAAUAAUGAUGCAGGUAACUAAUAAACCAGCAUACAACUGCUAAUUGCCAUCUUGCACCAGAAAAACAUACUGUCUUUCGUUCAGUUUCAUGUCUUCACUUCAGAGUAUUCUUGAUGUGAUAUAGGGGGGCACGCCAGUUUACUUUGUCCAGAAGCUUG